rnacentral:ncRNA from 1 species
AAAUGAGCGUUGAAAAGAUAAGUACAGAUCAGAGUAUCAUCUCAGAGAGCUUCCGUUGGGUGAAAGGGAGCAUGAUAAUCGAUUUGGAAAAUGGUCUUUGAGCAGAAGUAGUGAGUGAUGUCAUGAGCUAUUUCCGGUUGCACCCGGUACAGUGCCACAGUAUGCAGGAGCCGUUUUGGACUUCUAAGUACUGGUAGAGGUUGUUUUAGUGAUAAAGCAACAAACAAAGGUGGAACCGCGCUAACUUAACUAAAUUAGUCGCCCUUUUU